rnacentral:rRNA from 1 species
GACGAACGCUGGCGGCGUGCCUAACACAUGCAAGUCGAACGGAGCACUUCGGUGCUUAGUGGCGAACGGGUGAGUAACGCGUGAGCAACCUACCUUUCAGUGGGGGACAACAGUUGGAAACGACUGCUAAUACCGCAUAUGCCAUAAUCACCACAUGGUGAUAGUGGGAAAGGAGCAAUCCGCUGAUAGAUGGGCUUGCGUCUGAUUAGAUAGUUGGUGGGGUAACGGCCUACCAAGUCGACGAUCAGUAGCCGGUCUGAGAGGAUGAACGGCCACAUUGGGACUGAGAUACGGCCCAGACUCCUACGGGAGGCAGCAGUGGGGAAUAUUGGGCAAUGGGGGAAACCCUGACCCAGCAACGCCGCGUGAAGGAAGAAGGCCUUCGGGUUGUAAACUUCUUUAGUAGGGACGAAGAACGUGACGGUACCUACAGAAAAAGACAACGGCUAACUACGUG